rnacentral:pre_miRNA from 1 species
CAACUACUCCCUCUGUACCAAAUUUCUUGUCUUAGAUUUGUCUAGAUACGGAUGUAUCUAAUACUAAAAUGUGACUUGAUACAUCUGUAUCUAGACAAAUCUAAGAUAAGAAUUUUGGGACGGAGGGAGUACUUU